AGAAAUUCAAUUGCUACAUCGGGGCUCCGACCCGACUCCCAGAAAUUCUUCAAGCUCUCCAGCGCACCUUCCCUAACCACCGAAAGCUUCAAGCUUUGGUCCUCAGAGACUAAACCACAGAGGCAGGCGAUGGCAUUCUCUUGCGCCAACGCAGUUCCGGAAGAAGCGAGACCCAAGAGGACGAAAACAGCGUUUUCUUCUACGAGAUUCUCCUUGAUCUCGGCGAAGCGCGAUAAAUUCCUGAGAACGCCGGCGGCGGAGGCUUGAGAACCGGGAGUGCCAGCUUGGCAGAUCUCCAAGAGCGACGAGAUUCCGCCGCGUGAGCCUAUGGCCCUGGCGUUCUCCUUCGAGUAACUCAGCGCCUGAAGCGCUAUGCAGGCUUUCUCCUUCGCGAACCCGCUUCCGGAAUCGAGGACCCGGAGGAGAUGGUUGAGGAGAAGCAAGCCCUCGGCAGCGAGGACGGGCUUGCUGGUGUCGACGGUUGAGAUUCUGGCGAUGGCGGCAACGGCUUUUUCCUUGGACUCAGAGGAGGUGGAGUGAUCCAGUGUGCGCACGAGUACCGGGACCACGCCCUGCGCGACGGCGAUGACGACGUUCUUGUCGUCCUGAUGGAGAAGAGAAAGCAGGGAGUCCAUGGCGGAGUUUCGAGAGUCGGGUGAGCCGAUUUGGAGGCGGGUGAUGAGGUUCCUGGAUUGGGAUCUGAGAGAGUCGCGGGGGUUGGUGGAGAGGGCGGCGGCGUUGUCGAUAUGGGUGCGGGAGAGGAUGGUGGAGUCGUAGAGGUGGCGGUUGAGGGUGUCGAGGAGGGAGUAGAGGUCGCUCUGUGUCUUGAGCUUGCCGUGAGGGGGGUUGGGGGAGUGGCAGUGUUGGGCGAGGGAGAGAGCGUGGUGGAGCGUUUGCGAGAGAGAGCGGAGGAGGUCGAGGGAUAGUGGGUUUGAGGCGGGGAAAUCGGAGUCGGAGAGG
rnacentral:lncRNA from 1 species